CGUGUCCUGCGCCGGUCGAAGCCCUGCGUUCCUACGCGGGGUAUUUUCAUAGGCCGCGCGGGACACG
rnacentral:ncRNA from 2 species